CUACACGCUUAGGCUAUAUGGCAUAGCUUACGGCUCCUAGGCUACAAACCUGUACCGCAUGUUACUGUAUUGAAUAAUUUAGGCAGUUUUAACACAAUAGCAACUAGUUGUGUAUCUA